rnacentral:rRNA from 1 species
AUUGAACGCUGGCGGCAGGCUUAACACAUGCAAGUCGAGCGGAGUGGUGGUGCUUGCACUAUCACUUAGCGGCGGACGGGUGAGUAAUGCUUAGGAAUCUGCCUAUUAGUGGGGGACAACAUUCCGAAAGGAAUGCUAAUACCGCAUACGCCCUACGGGGGAAAGCAGGGGAUCUUCGGACCUUGCGCUAAUAGAUGAGCCUAAGUCGGAUUAGCUAGUUGGUGGGGUAAAGGCCUACCAAGGCGACGAUCUGUAGCGGGUCUGAGAGGAUGAUCCGCCACACUGGGACUGAGACACGGCCCAGACUCCUACGGGAGGCAGCAGUGGGGAAUAUUGGACAAUGGGCGGAAGCCUGAUCCAGCCAUGCCGCGUGUGUGAAGAAGGCCUUUUGGUUGUAAAGCACUUUAAGCGAGGAGGAGGCUCUUAAGGUUAAUACCCUUGAUGAGUGGACGUUACUCGCAGAAUAAGCACCGGCUAACUCUGUGCCAGCAGCCGCGGUAAGAC